CCCGCCCAUAUCCACCCAGAUUCUCUCCACCACCACACCCGUUGUCAUUCCCCAAAUGGUUACCGUAUGCCUCCCGGCCUCCCAGUCAUCCUUCGUCACCUCCAUCGUCGCAUUUCUAAUCUCAUUACUAACCACCUCCAUCCAAUCUUUAGGUACGGAGCCCACUUCUCCAGGAUUUCGAUCUGAGUCGCUCUCUCCAAGUCCUUUUGUUGGCACGGGGUGGAUUUCUUUGGGUGGAAGAUCAUCCAACUGAAGUCCAAAAGCUAGUUCUUUACCGACCAGGAAAUUCAGUGUUGGACCGACUUGGACAGUUAUCUCCACCUUGCCAUUUCCAUCCACGCUAUCGCCGUGUGCCCAAAAGUCAUACUCGAGCUUGGGACCUUUACCUAGGGUAAAGUUUUGGGUUGUGACAGGGAACAUUUCCAGACCGGAAAGGUGAGCAGUUUCGAUAACAACAUACCCAUCGCCCUCGACGUGGCCGCGGAAUGAGGAUUGCGGCGAAGGUGGUAUGAUGAUGGGGACACUGAUGGUGACGUUGGUUCUAUCGGUGGCACUAAAUUCAAUAUGCCCCUCUUUCUCCACCGUUUCGCCCUUUGUACUAGCUGGCACCCUAUCCCAAUCCACGGAUACCCAAAUCCUCUCAUCCCCGGAACCAUCCCAUACAGUCUUCCCUUUCCUCGGCUCCACUGUCAACCAAUCCACAUCCACCUCCAUUUUCCAACUCACAUUCUUCGGUCCUCCAGCACCUAUAUCGAUCCAUCGACUCUGUUCGCCCCAUGGAUCCAUGGGUAAAAGGGUGGGAUCCGGGCAUUUGUAACCUCUCUCACAGUUCCUGCCGCUAUCUCCCGGCCAAGCGCCAAGGGAAUUCUCGACAGUGAGACGGACGUAACCGACUUGGCCGGGUAAGUCCCGCUCUUUAAGCGGGAUACCAGGUCGGGAGGGCUGGAAGGGAUUGACGAGAUGGAUGGGCGGAAGGGAAUCCCGGAUGGGCUCGAGUCCUGAAAAAUCCGGCCAAAGAGAAAGAUGAAAAAAUAAAAUAAAAUACACUUACUGGUCCCAUUUACGGUUCAGCAAGGAAUGGAAAGUUUCGGUGAUGUUGGCAUCCUGAUAGAAUGCUUCAAUUGCCUUGUGUGCAAAUACGUUGGCAGCCGUCUUUGCCUGGAAAGCAUAGAGUUCUGAUCGGGCAACUAACCACAAUCACAUAUCAGACUUUUCCAAAUCAAAAGCGUUUUGAGAGGCGAAAGAUGACUGACCUGCAAUGUGUAGUUUGUUCAAGUUUUCUUGAGCCGCGCAAAGCAUGUACACGAGCUGGAAGAAUGCGGGCUGUGUUUCUUUGGGCAACUGGUCGUAUACCUUACCUGCACGGGUAGUGAGACCUUGCCAUUCAGAAACUACUCGCUCAGCCCUUAUGUACGGCCUUAGCGACCAUGAUUUGCUAUUAACGAGCUCUGCUUUAUUUCUUGCCGCAGUACUUCCCCAUAAUAUCCCCCACUUCCUCUUUCCAUUCAUUUCCAAAUUCUCUCCCCGCCCACUCUCUCAACCACCGCUUCCAACUAUUCCUCUCCCACCUAUCAAAGUCCCAUGCGAGAUCUAGGAACCACUCUGUAGGCAUUUCGAGGGGCUUCAAGGUUCCUAUGUUGAGAAUCCAGAUUUGAGUGGUGUUGAAAGAACGGGCAAUAUUCAUUUGGUCCCAGGCUAUUUUACAUGACGAAGAUUGACGGUAUUUAUCCAUUUGUAAUCUCUGGGAAAACCGACAUCUAGAAACCAAGGGUCAGACUAUGUUAAUGUCGUCUUGUGCAAGGCAAUGACAGAAAUCCUCACAAUCAACGUGGUAGUAGAUGCCAGCACCAGCCUUAUGGCCUUGACGUUCUGGAGGGAGGACGGACAUUAUGUUGCCAUAAUUGUCGUCGGCAAAGAGAACAGUGACUAGAAAACAUUGUGAGUUAUCCGAGUUAUUUUGGCCGGGAUGGAGGCAGCAGAAACAUACCAUCGUCUGGAACUUCAAGCUUCACAAUAGCCAGCAACCUCCUUGUACAUACACCACAUUUGACUCACACCGCUUCCUUCCAGAUCGUCGGUAUCAUAAACGUCUUUCAAGAUAUCCUGCUGAGCCUUAGUGAUGUCUGGUCGAAAUCAGCUCAAGGUGACGGGGGAGGUAUAUCAGAAUGGGAAGACUUACUCUGGACCAACUCAUUACUAGCAUCAGUCAGAGGUUCAUCUCCAUCUCCCCUCAUCCCCAUCGUGAAAAGAGUUUCGACGCCCUUAGCUCUCUCAGCUCCGUAUCGCCAAAAAUCUUUUAAGACAUCUUUAUUUGUCCAGUCCCAAGGACCUUUGCCGAACACGUCCCAUUCGGGUUUAUUACGGGACAUGGGUUCAUGAUGUGAAGUGCCCAUAACGAUGCCCAUCUUGUUGGCAAGGAUUUGGUUUGGACCUGAGAUGGCAGACUGGGGGAGGCCGUUAGUAAUGUCGAGCCCGUCGACAGAGAACUUGGACGCCCACACUAAUUUUUUUAAAUAGUUUGCUUUCAACCUUAGCAUCAUUUCGAACCAAAGCUCAUACAUCUCUACCUGGAACGCUGGCUCCCAAGGGUCCCUAUUCCACCUCUCAGCUGCCCAGCCCCAAAGAGCGGGGUGUUCAUCGUUGAUGAAAAGACCUCUGUACUUGACAGUCGGUUCGCCAUGAGAGAGUGACUUGUUCUUGAGGAUGGCAACGGCAGAGUGAUGAGGGAUGGGAACGUCGGACCAGAAGUAGAAGGGAGAGAUACCCAUUUGUUCUGAGAGAGUGUAAAGCGCGUAGAUCGUACCUCGUCGAUCCGAGCCAGUGAUGACAAGUCCCUCCUUUAAAUCCUCGAAUGGGGAAACUUCCCAACUAACAUCGAAGCUUUCCCACUUUCCCUUCAAUUUAUCUCUUUUCGAGUCCUCCUUGACCCUUCGGAUAACUUUACUCUCCACGCUACCGAUAAUAACCGCUCGAUGAACAUCAUCGGGCAAAGUGUCGUUGUAGAGAUCAGGUCGAUGACCGGUGACCUUGUAAACAUCUUCUGCAAAUGUUUGAGCAGCAACAUGGAUGGACUGGUCGUCUUCAGAUGAUAGUAGGAGAGAUGAAGCAAAGUGGUGAUGGCUUGAAGCUAGGACGAAAUAAUUAUUCGCGCCAUUGACGUAGGAAGCUUGAUUCAGUCGAUCAUCGGUCGAGAUGAAGGUCGUCUGUUCUUGGUGCUUGGUGCGAUCGGUAGGACCUAGCCAGCUAUAAUCUUCUCCAGAUAGUUGUGAUAGACUUGGAAAGGCUACAAUCUUGUCAUCGCCUAGUGCAUGUACAAGGCCAAACAAUGGGAUCGAAACCAGCGCUGCAUAGAGCGCGGUCUUGGUCGAUAACAUCUUAGUGGUCAGCGGGUCGUUGUGCUUGCUUGAAAUCUGGGAUACAGGAUCAUCGCCAUGCUUCGCCCUUAUUUAUACGCAUAUAGGAGAGGCUUGCAUAUAGCCAAAACGACAGACGGAGAGUAGAUCACCCGAUAAUCCUAGAGUAGUGUCCUGUGACUAUUAUAGGCUUCCGGUCGCCGGUCGCCGGUGGAGGUGGAGUGAUGGAAAAUGUACACAGAGAACGAACAACGACGAAAGAUGUUACACGUAUAUAAACCCGAAUGUACGGUUGAAAAUAGCCAUAUUAACCCGUUCAAACCAUUGAAAAACGCUGUAGCGGAUGUCAAGCGCAAGUAACGUUAGGACGGUUGCUUGGCCUCUCACUAAGAGGGGACUAUGGGGGCGUACGAAUCGAACCCGACGACGUACUCGUCGGAAGGCAUUGAUGAAUGAGUAGUGCAUGCCAUAAUCUCUUCGCUAUACGACUACUCCUUGGAUAGUGGUCCCGAUCUGUGUCUGUGAC
rnacentral:sRNA from 1 species